rnacentral:rRNA from 1 species
AGAUCGGCAUGUCUAGUAUAAGCAUUAUACCGUGAAACUGCGAAUGGCUCAUUAAAUCAGUUAUCGUUUAUUUGAUAGUACCUUACUACUUGGAUAACCGUGGUAAUUCUAGAGCUAAUACAUGCUGAAAACCCCAACUUCGGGAGGGGUGUAUUUAUUAGAUAAAAAACCAACGCCCUUCGGGGCUUCUUGGUGAUUCAUGAUAACUUUACGGAUCGCAUGGCCUUGCGCCGGCGACGGUUCAUUCAAAUUUCUGCCCUAUCAACUUUCGAUGGUAAGGUAUUGGCUUACCAUGGUUUCAACGGGUAACGGGGAAUUAGGGUUCGAUUCCGGAGAGCGAGCCUGAGAGACGGCUAGCACAUCCAAGGAAGGCAGCAGGCGCGCAAAUUACCCAAUCCCGACACGGGGAGGUAGUGACAAUAAAUACUGAUACAGGGCUCUUUUGGGUCUUGUAAUUGGAAUGAGUACAAUUUAAACCUCUUAACGAGGAACAAUUGGAGGGCAAGUCUGGUGGACAUUCAGCUCCCAUUCUGCUGACGCCAGAGAUAGUCGGGCAUCUUUUCGAUGUUAUGCCGGCUAGUCGAUGUACCUACUAACUGAUGGGGAGGUACCGGCAAGACAACCUGGAUCGGGGAAGGCUAAGGUGUCGCUUGCGAUGCUAUGCUAAUCCCGAGCAGAGCUGCCAUGGAGCGAUCUGUGGACAGCCUGUGUAGAGCACGCUAAGGUGUCGGCCAACUCACGUAGUUGGCUUAAGGGACGUGCCAUUCCCACCUGAAAGGGUGGCUGUCAGCAAUAGCGCCCAUCACGCGAAGGCUGACAGGUUCAAACAGAUGUUUGGAGAUUAUAAAGGCCAGCAGCCGCGGUAAUUCCAGCUCCAAUAGCGUAUAUUAAAGUUGUUGCAGUUAAAAAGCUCGUAGUUGAACUUGGGUCUGGCUGGCAGGUCCGCCUCACCGCGUGUACUUGUCCGGCCGGGCCUUCUUCUGGAGAACCUCAUGCCCUUCACUGGGCGUGUGGGGACAGACUUUUACUUUGAAAAAUUAGAGUGUUCAAAGCAGCCUUUGCUCGAAUACGUUAGCAU